GAUGAACGCUGGCGGCGCGCCUAAUACAUGCAAGUCGAGCGAACAGACGAGGAGCUUGCUCCUCUGACGUUAGCGGCGGACGGGUGAGUAACACGUGGAUAACCUACCUAUAAGACUGGGAUAACUUCGGGAAACCGGAGCUAAUACCGGAUAACAUGUUGAACCGCAUGGUUCAACAGUGAAAGACGGUCUUGCUGUCACUUAUAGAUGGAUCCGCGCCGCAUUAGCUAGUUGGUAAGGUAACGGCUUACCAAGGCAACGAUGCGUAGCCGACCUGAGAGGGUGAUCGGCCACACUGGAACUGAGACACGGUCCAGACUCCUACGGGAGGCAGCAGUAGGGAAUCUUCCGCAAUGGCGAAAGCCUGACGGAGCAACGCCGCGUGAGUGAAGAAGGUCUUCGGAUCGUAAAACUCUGUUAUUAGGGAAGAACAAAUGUGUAAGUAACUAUGCACGUCUUGACGGUACCUAAUCAGAAAGCCACGGCUAACUACGUG
rnacentral:rRNA from 1 species